rnacentral:rRNA from 1 species
CAUGCAGUACAUAUCUCCUUGUGGCUCAUGCCUGGUUUCCCACUGAAGCGAAGCAGUUUGAAGCAGGUUGAGCCUGCCCAGUACAUGGAUGGGAGACCUCCUGGGGAAAACUAAGGUUGCUGCUGGA